rnacentral:sRNA from 1 species
GCCACCAUGUCGUUAUUAAAGCUCCAAUAUUUAUUCUUGCUUGCACCCUAUUUCCAGAGGAGGAAAUAUUUAGAAUCUAGUCUUAUAUGUUAUCCUACAUAUGAUGGUUUGGGAUUCCUUUUAUCGUUGAGAUUGAUUGCCAGAUCUGAUUUGUGAGAUCACAUCCUCUGAAUAGAUGAUCAGAGUCUUCAAAAGCGCCCCUGCAAAGUGGACAAAUCCAAUCACAAGGCCAAUGCCUAAUUAGUAAAUUCUCUACUGUUAAGGUCUUCUGGUGAAGGAUUAGUCAGCCCAGGAAUCUUUGCUUAGAUUGAGCUUCUGCUGUCCAUAUCAUCUUGAAGGCUGGGUUUGUCUCUGAUCCAAUGAAUUGGGCUUGGUAAGAACUCUUUGCUUUGUAGAUACCUGCAGCAUUUCUUGUCCACACAAUAUUAUCUUCCCCAGUUUCAAUGAGAGUGAUUUGUGUGAGUAAACUUCCAAGUUGUACUAGCUCAUGAAGAGUUUCAACAUCUGUUAUCUGUCUAAAGGAUGACAGCCAGGUGUUGUCGUUAAGCUCUGUUUUGACUCUUCUAUUUUUCCUGAUUGCCAUGUUGAAUAGGUUGGGUG